AGGACGAACGCUGGCGGCGUGCUUAACACAUGCAAGUCGAACGGAUUAGUUGGGAGCUUGCUCCUGGCUAAGUGAGUGGCGGACGGGUGAGUAACGCGUGAACAAUCUGUCUCAUACAGGGGGAUAACGCAUCGAAAGAUGUGCUAAUACCGCGUAGGACCACGGAAUCGCAUGGUACUGAGGUGAAAGGCGAAAGCCGGUAUGAGGUGAGUUCGCGUCUGAUUAGAUAGUUGGUGAGGUAACGGCCCACCAAGUCAACGAUCAGUAGCCGACCUGAGAGGGUGAUCGGCCACAUUGGGACUGAGACACGGCCCAGACUCCUACGGGAGGCAGCAGUGGGGAAUAUUGGGCAAUGGGCGAAAGCCUGAACCCCAGCAACGCCGCGUGAAGGAAGAAGGUUUUCGGAUCGUAAACUUCUGUCCUAUGAGAAGAUAAUGACGGUAUCAUAGGAGGAAGCCCCGGCUAACUACGUGCCAGCCGCUGC
rnacentral:rRNA from 1 species